rnacentral:lncRNA from 1 species
UCCAUUUCCCUGCCUUCUUUUCCCAUGCCCCUUCCCCCUCUCCCAGGGUGUGGGUCCUCUGCCCCAAUUAGUUACAGAACCAGGCUGAACUGGCUCAGAAACCGCUGACAUUUUAAUAGAUCCAUUGAAUGGGAAAGAUGUACUUUUGAAACAAACCUCUUAGUACUCUCUGAGAGCUUUGUUAGAAAGCUUAUCAGUACUGCAGGACUUGUAUUGCAAACAAGGCCUUGAAGUCCAUGCGGAUCACCAAUACUACGGGAAGUUUGUAAAAAUGUAUUUGCUUUUUCUGGUAAAACUGUUCUUCAAAUACCUAUCUGGUGUCUGCAUACAGUGUGAUACGAAUUGGACAUUGAAAGGUACAUCCUGUAAGUAAUGUCUGCUCUGUAUUUAAUGCCUCCUACUUGAUUGUGUUGGCCCAGAAAGUUAGAAGUGGGCAUUGGUAUUAUGGCAGUAGGGAUUGAACCUUCCCACUAAUACUCCAUUAUGUUUUGUUGCUCUGUGACAGCCGGCAUCAGAGGGGCAGUCUGACCAAACAGUGUCUGACGUAUGAAGCAGAUUUAUGUCACUGAAUUCCUCCAUGUGGAAAAAAAGGCACCCACUGACACUCAUUGACACUUAAUGAAUGUUUAUGGACAGCAAAGAGUGGAUGUGAGCACAGUCAGGCUGCAGGUGGUAUAUUUCAGCAAUGGCAACAGCACCGUGAGAAACAAGCCAUGUGAGGGAUGGCCGUGUUCAGCUGUCAGUAGUUUGAUAUGAAAAGUGUCUUGAUCAGAGAGAAAGGUCUGGACAAGUGCACAACAAGAUGCAGCUGGAAGCUAAAAUUACACCAAAAGAAACAUCAAAUAAAGCACAGAUUUUGAACUAGGAGCUCCAUGUAAUGGCAUAAAAACAACAAACAAACAAAUGAAAAACAAACACAGAUUUUUUUCCAAUCUUCCUGAUGUUUGUUUUACCUUUUUGGAAGGUAUGCUUGAACAAGGGCAGGAUACUGGUUCCAGUAGAAGACUGGGUCACAGGAGCCAUGAAGAACAUCUAUGUGUAGGCAGAAAAUAUGUCUAAGCUCUCUGCCACAGGAAGAGUCUGCUCUGAGAAGAACUGAUGUCUGAACUCUACAUUUUUCCCUGUUAAGAGUCCCAGGCUACAUGGCUAUUUCUUAAGCAUGGCAUCUGUAUCAGAACUGUUUGUUUCCUGUAAUGAAAUGACAUUUGAAUGGACCUAAUUCUGCAGCCAGUCUAGAUUGAUUGCAAAGCGUGUGAAAUGUAUUUUAGCCCCAAAACUUCAGAGACUUGUCAGAGAUAAGAAACAAGCCAGAAAAUGGUUUUUACCUCUAAUUGUGUUUUGUUGUUAGGCCUUGAGCAGUGAGAGGAAGCAAGAACACAUUUAGGUGCACCACCCUAGCAAAGAGAAUACAUGUGUGUAUAAACAAUACAAAUUCCUCACAUCAAACCUUUAACCUUUCACUGGGUCUGUUCCAACCUCCUGUGUUUUUUUCCUCUGAAAAACUCUUCCUUCCAUCCUCUUGUUAACAUACUUAGUACAUUUUGAACUGUGUUAAUGACAAGCAAAAUGUAUAUAUAAUUGAGCUUGGUAAAAAUAAAAAUUAAAUUAAAAAAACCCUGUAUAAAGAC